rnacentral:lncRNA from 1 species
AUGGCAAAUGUUGUGGAUCAAGAUCAGCAAUGGCUUCUCAGUUGCCUGUCUGCCACACUCGACCCUAACCAGGAGGUUCGCUCUUUUGCUGAAGCCUCUCUUGAUCAAGCCUCUCGCCAAUCAGGUUUUGGCAGUGCAUUAUCAAAAGUCCUUGCAAACAAGGAGCUUGCUGUGGGGUUGCGCCAGAUAUCCUUUUCCUAA